rnacentral:sRNA from 12 species
GCGGGGGCGCCCUGGUUUCCACAGGGGACGCUACGCUUUUGAGGCUCCGUCAGAUCAGGAGC